UCCUUCUCUCUCUACCCCCUUCUUUCUCUCCUUGUUGCGUUCCCUGUGGUUUUGUGGUUGUGAACCUUGUGAACUGUUAAUCCUGCGCUCAGUCAGUCGGUGGGUUCAUUGGUCUGUACAUCACAGGAUCCAUCCAACGGCUCAGGGGAGAAGUGGCGGCUGGUGUUAUUGGGCGCUCUCCUCAUCUGUGGGUUAAACCUGGAGUUUGGACAGUGCCAGCAGGAUGAGUAGGAGGGACGGACCAGCCCACCAGGCCGUAAGCCUAAACCCAGUAACAGUAAACCAGUGAGGGGAGCAGGAGGGACCGACCAGCCCACCAGGCCGUAAGCCUAAACCCAGUAACAGUAAACCAGUGAGGGGAGCAGGAGGGACGGACCAGCCCACCAGGCCGUAAGCCUAAACCCAGUAACAGUAAACCAGUGAGGGGAGCAGGAGGGACGGACCAGCCCACCAGGCCGUAAGCCUAAACCCAGUAACAGUAAACCAGUGAGGGGAGCAGGAGGGACGGACCAGCCCACCAGGCCGUAAGCCUAAACCCAGUAACAGUAAACCAGUGAGGGGAGCAGGAGGGACCGACCAGCCCACCAGGCCGUAAGCCUAAACCCAGUAAGGGUAAACCAGUGAGGGGAGCAGGAGGGACGGACCAGCCCACCAGGACGUAAGCCUAAACCCAGUAAGGGUAAACCAGUGAGGGGAGCAGAAGGGACGGACCAGCCCACCAGGACGUAAGCCUAAACCCAGUAAGGGUAAACCAGUGAGGGGAGCAGGAGGGACAGACCAGCCCACCAGGACGUAAGCCUAAACCCAGUAAGGGUAAACCAGUGAGGGGAGCAGGUCAACCCAAAGCUAAAGCAACACCGGCCCUGUUCCUCUGACACAGGCUGAGUUAGUGUGGGUUGAGUUCCAGCGUGUAGGGGGCCGUCUGAGUGUCCGGGUCGGCGACACCAUGAAGCUGAGGUGGAAAGGGAACCCCUGAUGCGUCAGGCGUUCCUGCUUACCUAGAGGACAACGAGGUGAGACUCAGGUGAGACUCCGGUCCUGACGAUGUGAUGGGACAGGGUGCCAUGGAAACAGGCCUCCAUGGCAACAAGGGCUCACUAGAAAAAGUGACCUCAGUCUCAAUGUUGUU